rnacentral:snoRNA from 1 species
UGCAUUUUUGUUUAACUUGUGGAUGAUUGAUGGACAGGUGCAAAAUAAAUACUCUUUUGUAACCCAGAACUCAUUGUUCAGUAUGGAUUUUUAUACAGAUGAAAAAGGAUAUU